rnacentral:tRNA from 1 species
GCCCGAUUGGCCUAAUGGUUACGGCGUCGCUUUCCUAAGGCGAAGAUUGUGGGUUCGAGUCCCAUGUCGGGUU